UACGUAGGGGGCAAGCGUUUGUCCGGAUUUAUUGGGCGUAAAGAGCGUGUAGGCGGCCAGGUAGGUCGGUUGUGAAAACUGGAGGCUCAACCUUCAGAGGUCGACCGAAACCAUCUGGCUAGAGUCCGGGAGAGGAGAGUGGAAUUCCUGGUGUAGCGGUGAAAUGCGCAGAUAUCAGGAAGAACACCCGUGGCGAAAGCGGCUCUCUGGAACGGUACUGACGCUGAGACGCGAAAGCGUGGGGAGCGAACAGG
rnacentral:rRNA from 1 species